rnacentral:rRNA from 1 species
GACGGAGGGUGCUAGCGUUGUUCGGAAUGACUGGGCGUAAAGGGCGCGUAGGCGGCUCAAGGAGUCGGGUGUGAAAGCCCGGGGCUCAACCCCGGAACGGCAUCCGAUACUCUUGGGCUCGAGACCGGGAGAGGAGGGUGGAAUACCCAGUGUAGAGGUGAAAUUCGUAGAUAUUGGGUGGAACACCGGUGGCGAAAGCGGCUCUCUGGCCCGGAUCUGACGCUGAGGCGCGAAAGCGUGGGGAGCAAACAGG